UGGCUGAAUGUUGUGACUGGCUGCAGGAGACAAAAUGGCUAACUAACCCUUUCUCUUUCUAGGUUUCACAAACGGAAGUCUGUAUUUUCCAUAUGCUGUGGUGUUCAAUGAGUAUCCUGGCUUCCUUGUCCCUCUGUCCCCAUUGCCGACUGCUCUUAAUCGAAGACCCAUAGUCCCUCUGUAUUAUAACACAGCACCAUUCCGACAGUGUGGUGGCUAUUGGGAAAAAAUGAAAACUAAAGACACACAAACAGAAACUGAACCUCAACAGGCUGAGAACUUGAAUGAGAAGCAGGACACGUACUCAGAAGGUGACAGCUGUGAUGUAGGAAGGGUGACCAGUGUCCCUACAGAUACCUUGAAAGAAACUAUGCCAUCAUAUGAUGUGGCAUAUGGUAAAGCCAUGCCAGGGAAUGAGGUGCAGUACAAUGGGAUUUCAUAUAGUUCCUGUGAAAGUAGAGGUAUGCUCUAUGAUCCUCAUGAGGGGAAAGGCCUCAUGAACUUGAGUGAAGAAAGAAAGGGAUAUGCAGUUGACUCCCAAAUCCCACCACUUCCAAAUGCAGUAAAAGACAGAGAUGUGAGCCAGAAUACCCUGAAUUCAAAAUUGUACCAAUCCAUUGGGAAUAUCAACAAGCUCCAGCAGGAAAAGCCACCUUGUGCCAGCAUGGAAGCUGUUAAGCACCUGAACCUACAUUCAGAAUCUCAGAAACCCCUUACUGUAGGGAAAAGUAUGCCAGAGAACAGUAGUGGGAGCCAUGGCUCCCCUGAGAAUGUGGGUGAAGAGGAAGAGGUAGAGAGCAAUAGCUACCCUGAGGGAGGUGCUUCUUCCCCAAACUUGUUGGCCCAGGUCAACAAAGUAGAUGAGGCCAUCCAGUGUGAUAUGAGUUGGUGGUGUGAGGUGCAGUCUGAGAAUUCCCAUGAACUUUCACCAGAAAGCACAAGAGAGGGAGCAGAGCAGAUGGGGUGUAGGGAUGAGGUGGAGACCAAUAGCCCGGAGGGGCACACUUACCCCUCAACUUGGUUGGCCCAGUUCAACAAGGUAGAUGAGAGCAACCAGUGUGAUAUGAGCUGGUUUGAGUCACAGGUACGGAAGUCCCCCCAGCAGAUGCUCUCCAGAGGUGAAGAGGCAUCACCAGAUUGCAGAGCCAAGGCAUCAUGGGAAAAACUAGUCACGAACAGGAAAUUAAGUGCAGAUAAAGAAGUGCUUAUGAAUGAUGAGAUUGGGGAGGUGUAUAAUGAGAACUUCAAAACAUGUGCAACAAUUAAGACUGUGAGAGGCAGGAAGCUGAAAGAUCUGAGCACCUUCUCAAAUGUUAGGACAGUCUGUUUGUUGAAGAAAAGGGCUGCCUUGAACAUUGUGAUUCCUGAGGAUUCAGGAGACUCUGAGUUGGAAGAGGAAGAAGAUGAAAUGGAUGAGGUCGAAUGCCUCCUUGAAGAAGUGAGUCUACAGAGCCCUCUGAAGGCUUCUAAAGGAAGGUCUUACCAGGAGGCUGGAAGGAUGCUCAGGGUGCCACCUGAGAGCGCUGUCCCUACCCAACUUAUUGUAUGGCCCACCAGAAAUAAGUACAAGUUAAAGCAUGGUGAAUGUGAAUGUGUCCCUGUGUUUUACCAGUUGAAACGACAGGACGGCUGUGAAGGCAGUGGUGACAGGCUCCGAAGCAAACACACCAUGGCCAGACUGGAAGGAGUGGCACCCAGGAGGGCCUCCCACAAAUGAAACAAAUUGCUAAGUUCCAGCUACAAGAAAGAGCUAAAUAUUGCAUCACCAUGAUGGAUUAUAACAUGUGUCUUCUUUCUUGAUUCAAACUAUUAAAGCUACACUGACAAACAAGAAAAUGCGACAUUGUAAAACCUUUGGAAUUAAAAGUGGUAAUCAGC
ensembl:lncRNA